AGAAAAGGCAGACAGGAGAGACAGACAUUGGAGGAGGUGUAGAGUGAGGGACUGAAAGGAGCAGAUGAAGAGACAGGAGUCAGCGGAGGAGGGAAGCGAGGGAAGCCUGAGGCUUCAUCACAUGAUCUCCAGUCAAGUUCUCCUGAUUGCUAAUGGCACUCAUGACACUCAGGUGAAGGUGCAUUUCACCAUGUCCUGCCCCGAUGUUGCACAUGUGAACUAAAACAACUCCAGUUAAAAACAUAUGACAUCAUGUGAGGAAUAUGUGAUCAAGAAAAAUAAUUAUUCGUUUGAGAAAACCACAUCUGUAAAUGAA